rnacentral:rRNA from 1 species
UACGUAGGGUGCGAGCGUUAAUCGGAAUUACUGGGCGUAAAGCGUGCGCAGGCGUUUUUGUAAGUUUGGUGUGAAAUCUCCCGGCUCAACUGGGAGGGUGCGCCGAAAACUGCAAGGCUGGAGUAUGGGAGAGGUAGGCGGAAUUCCUGGUGUAGCGGUGAAAUGCGUAGAUAUCAGGAGGAACACCUGUGGUGUAGACGGCUUACUGGACCAUGACUGACGCUGAGGCACGAAAGCGUGGGGAGCAAACAGG